rnacentral:lncRNA from 1 species
AUGACUUCCAGGAACACACAUAUUUGUCACGUUUCCUUCACAAGAAACAUGUCCAGAGUUUAUUAGUAGAAUGUGGCACUACCAAAGGAUCGGGGGAUGGGGCUUCGAUGGCAAUCUCCAGGCAUGUCUCAGAUCAGAAGAGUUCAAAUCAGGAAGUUUGAGAGCCAUUAUAAGACAUACAAUCUCUGUACCCCUCAACAUAUUUGCCAAUCUUAGCUGAAUCUGGCUUGUCAUCAAUCUACAAUACAAAUGACAAUCUCAUUGCUAUAACAUUUGCAGAUCCUCUAAAAGUGUUUGGUUAUUCCUUUUGCAAAUUAGAUUUAAAUAAUAAUAAUGAUGAUAAUGAUAAUGAUGCAACUAAAACCCAAUUCUAUAUUGCUAGCAGUGUGACGAGCGUGUUUGGCAAAGCUUGACAUAAGUAAAAAUUACAUUUAAGUAAAUAUUUGUUAUUCAACGUGUUAGGAUAAGUUACUUUUCGUCCAUUAUAGUGCUUGUUAUAUGAAGUUCAUAAUGGAGCAAGUGUGACCAAAUCUAAACAUCAAAACCACAAAAAAUAAAAAUCUAAUUAUGCAUUGAGAAAAAAGAUCCAUUCAAGUCAAGUUUAGGUUUUUAGCUUGAAUCACAAAGGGUUGAGAGUACUAAGUUUCACCAAGAAAGCAUUUAUAAUUACAUAAAACCAUAUAGAAAUUGUAUUAAAGAAUAAAAAAUAAAAAUAAAAAAAUUGCUAAACCACAAGCAUUAUAUCAAGUGCAGUACUGGUUUCAAGCUUUGACAAUACUCAUUUAUGAAAAUUGUGCACGUACCAAAAUUUUCGAAGAAAAUAUAAAUUUGUCUGCAACCCACAGUCAAUAAAUUUCCACAAUCACGCCAAAAUUACACAAUUUUAAGCACAUAUUUACAAAAAGUUAGCAGGCAAACAAAAAUUGAUUCAAUAUAAACACACAGACUGCAAUAAGCACAUACAAGAAGAAAGAAAAAGGGGAUCCUGGUUGGUCAUCCCAGCAAAGGCUGUUCAAUUUCUUCAUUUUCCACUCAUCUUGCCACGAAUAGCCCAAAUAUUUCACUGCAAAAUUCCAUAUUUAAUAUUAUUUAUACAAACAUGCAUAUAUUCCAUGUAGUAAUCAUUAAUCAUUUUAACUUGAGAACUACUCCAAAAUAAUAAGAUGAAAUGAUGAGUUCAAUGCGGUACAGAAACUAAAAGAAAAAGGAACAAACUAGUUAUGAAAACUGCUUUGAUUUGGACAAUGGUGGAUUCCAUGGAGCCUUUUCUUGGCUCUUGACAAGAAUAAUACCUUUAAUUUUCAGCUCACCACUUCAAUUUUUCUCUUUGUUAUGGUGCCCAUAUAAAUAAAAAUUUUGCUAAGUGUAUGGGAAAAUGGUUUAUAGAAUUUUUAUAGUUGUCUGGUUGUUGCUAGGGAGACAACUGUAAAGAUUCUGUCAACCAAUCCCCAUAUCUGUAGUAACUAGCAAGGUUCAAUAAAUAAUGAUAUUACUCAAAACAUAAAGAAAAAAAUAAAAUUUAAUAUUUAAUUUUGACUUUAACUUUUUAAUAAUCUAAUUAGCUCUCCCAAACAAGCACUUUAACUCAAAGUUAAGGGACGGAAAAAAAUUGGGGACAAAUUGCUACAAGAGUGUCUUAAGUCAUGGACAAUAAUGGAAUCGUACUUUUUUCUUAUGGGAUUUAAAUUAAGUUAUAAUUUUAUUUUUGAAAAGGCUAUAGUUCGAUCCAAACAACACUUAGAGGGGGGAUGAAUAGGUGUUUAUGCGAAAUUUAACAAUUUAACAGAAAGCAGUAAAAACGUAACAAAAUGUUGACGGAGAAAACCCAAUUGGAUAAAAACUCCGAGCACAACUCAGUAGAGAUCCACUAUAGAAGAUAUUGACUUACAGUACGCCAGACAUAAUUGAAUCUAACAAUAUUCUGAUCUCCUUACUGUGUCAACCAAAGCUCUCCUGGAUUUUUCAGAUCUGUGCCAAAAUUCCAGCCUUGAAUUUUUUCUAUCUCCCGUGAAUCACCGAGCAUUCCAGUUCUUCAAGCAGUUUCCUUUUCGGAUCUUCAAACAGAUGAUCUUCUGGAAGUUGAUAUGGAGAUUUGAAUGGUGUUUUGGUUUUGUGAAGGUUGAUGUUUUUCUCUAAUAGAGCAUAAGAUCAAAAGAAAGAAUUUUUGACUCUAGAUCCUUUGGUUGUAGAGAGAAAAAAAUUAUUUGUGUGUUUUCCAAAGGUUAUAAAUGAAAAACGAAAUUUUUGUUUAUAUAGUAGAUCGUUUUUGGUAGUAUGGAGCGUUUAAAAUUCGCGAGAAAGGAAAAUUACCAAAAAUCAGAUAGCACUGUCGCUCGAACAAAGUGCUGGCGAAACUCUAGCGACCCCUCAGCGAAACUCUAGCGACAACAGUUAUGUUAUUUAGGAUUGAACGAGGUCAGGGCGAAACUCUAGCGAGAUUAACGCGCCGUUUGCAUCUUCAAAGCAUCCAACUUUACCCUAAACCUAUGCUAUAAACUUUGCAAAAUUGCAACACAAGUCCCUGAACUUUUUGGACCUUUACAAUUUAGUCCUUGACUUUACAAACUUGACAAAUUGGUCCUUUGGUCACAGAUUGCCAAUUACAACAUUUUCCUAACAAUUUUUAUUUUUAUUUUUUUUUUCAAAAGAUCGAACCUUAAUUAAUUUCCUUGUUUUUGAGGUCUUAGUUAUCUUGUGUGUUAGGUCCUAAAGCAAAUGCAGAGGGUUCAUUCAAAUUGUUGAAGGUAGAUGGUAUUAAUCAUACACCUCAUGUUGAGAAAAAGUUAAAAUUGUAAACAAAAUUAGAAAAUUCUAUGGAGUCAAUGGCCCGAUUCCGCCAUUGGUUACGGGAGGAGGGUCGUUAUCAACCCAACAUUAAAAUUUCUUUGAUACACUUGAAAAUUAUGGUGUUUUUAGAUCCGUCAUUGUUUAGGUUACUCUCUAACUUUAUUAAUCGAUUUUAACUCAAUCAAUAGUUCAAUACUAGAGUUAUUAUAGUAUUUUUCUUGUGAUGUUCAUUAUUAUCUCUUGUUAUAAAAAUGAAAAAACCCACGUCACUAACACUGUCCAUACUAACCAUGCUACAUUUACAUUCUCAUUUAUACUUUCAUUUACACUUUUUCAUAAGGCAAUAUCUAUGCUCUUGAUUUUACACUCAUUUUUUACACCACUGCAUAAAUUUCUACCACAUAGGAAGAAAUGUCAUUCAAAUGAUAUACAUAUAACGUUAUUCCUGCCCAUGUAGCAAUAAUCAUGACAACUUGAGCUUGUCAGAAGAGUUCAAAUAUUUCCCUGGUGACUCAAAAGUUCAUAUCGCAUCAGACUGUAGGAAUCAGACACGUUAAAGUCGCGUGAAUGAUUUGUCUAUAAGCGUGUUUCAGUAUGGUUGGUUUAGGUUGAACACGUUACCUACUUGUCAUUGACAGUGCGCCUUCAAAUUCUUCAUCCAUAAGUUAUUAAUUUGAUAUGACAAUUAUACCCGUUUAGGGAGGAGAGACGAUUUAGUUUGGGGCUAAUUUAAGGAUUUUACCAAUUUAUCUGUUGAUGUGAGGUAUUGAUCUGAUUGAAAUGUGGGGCUUUUCAGACAAAAGCAGAGAAAAGUAGUUGCCUAUUUUAGAAUAAUUUAUGCAAAGUUAGAGGCAAGACUCUUACUAAAUACUAGGUAGGUGUCUGUAAAUCCUAAUCAGAUUGGACCCAUUGAAGUUACCCUGCAAAGUAUCCAAAGAUCACUAGCUUGAAUUUAUUGACACUGAGCCAACAUUUUCAAAUAUAUGAUUGAAAAUGGGUUAAAUCCAUAUAACUAUCUAAUUUUAUAUUUAAUAUCAUCACGAUUAUUUACUUUGAUCUUAUUUCAUCAAGAUUAUCAAAAUUUAUACUUAAUGUCGUCAUCGCAACCCAUUUUAUUUCAUUUUACCAUGACUACUUAAUUUCAUGUAACAUUUCAUCGUGACCAUCCAAUUUUCUUUUACCAUUUUAACUAAUUUUAAAAGGGUAAAUUUGUAAUUUUGAAAAACAAAUUUUUUUAUUUUUAAAAACAAUUUUUUUGAAUAAGUUUUUCUUUUAUUUUAUUUUUCUAAGUAAUGCUCUUUUAAAAUAAUUUUUUAUUUUAUUUUAAAUUUUUUAAAAUAAUUUUUUCUUUAUUUUAUUUUUAAGGAACUUUUUUUUUAAAGUUUAAUUUUAUUUUAUUUUUCUAAGCAACAUUUUUUUAAGUAAGUUUCUAUUUUAUUUUAAAAACUUUUUUUUUAAAAUGAGUUUUCGUUUUUUUAAAGUAACAUUUUUUAAAUAAAAUUUAAUUUUAUUUCAUAUUUUUAAAUUUAUUUUAUAUAUAAAAAUGCAAAGUUACCGUUUUACCCUUUUUAAAAUUAAUGAAAAUGGUGAAAAGAAGGUGGACGGUCAUGGUAAAACGUUAUAUGAAAAUAGGUGGCCCUAGUAACAUUAAGAGGGUGUUUGACGCCCAUUUUUAAGGAAAAAUGGAUUUUGGAAUAGUAAAUUGAUGGAGAAUGUGUAGAUAAAAACUUUUUUUAUUUGUAUAACAUUAUUUUAAUGAAAAAUGUGUAGUUAAAAAUAAGAGAGAAAAAAUGUAUUUUGACAAAAAUGGGAAUCAAACGGGGCUUAAGUAUAAAAUUGGGUGGUCAUGUUGAAAUAAAAUCAAAUUGAAUGGUUUUGAUGACACAAAGUAUAAAGUUGGGUUGUCAUUGGUGGAUUUAACCUGAUUAAAAAUUGAUAGGUAUUGCAAAAAUGUUGUUAAUAUUAAUUUUUAAUUUUAAUUUAAUUAAAGUUAAUUAUUAACUUUAAUUUAAAAUUAAAAUUUUAUUCCCUAUUGAACAUGAGCUAAAUGUAUAUAUUAAAAAAUUCAAAAUAAUUUGAAAAUGUGCCAAAGCGGUCGCCUCUAUUGCCACCUAUGUAGCCCUAGGACUAAGAAUAUAAUUGUAUGGGCUGUAUAAGCAGAAUAAUCUUAAUUGUGUUGCCGAUCUUUCAUAAUGAAUUAAAACUAGCACAAAAGGAUAGGUGCAUGUUUGAGCCUCAUUUUUUGCGAAGAAUAUAUUUUAAAAUAGUAGAUUGAUGAAAAUGUGCAAUUAAAAAAUAAAGAAAAAUUUUGAGUUUAUGUGUAAUAUUAUUUUAUUGAAAAAUAUGUGAUUUAAAAUAAAAAGAAAAAUGUAAUUUGAAAAUAAUGUGGAUAAAAAAAGAUGACCAGAACAAUAUGUUAAAGGUUACUAUUUAAAAAGAAAAAAAAGGAAAAAAAAGCAUGUGAACUGAAAACUUAAACAUAAUUAUAAUUUAUUUUUAUAUUAAAGUUUUACGUAAAUAAUAUUAUUUAGCCCCCUGUUUGGAGCAGAUUAUUUUUAGUUUAAAGAGUUUUUAAUAUUAUUUUUUAAGAGAAUGUGUAGUUAAAAACGUGGAAAUGUUUUAAAUUUAUGUGUAGAAUAUUUCAUUGUGUAAAUGUGAUGUUAAAAAUGAUUCUGUAAAACAAGAGUUUUAAAAUAAUUGGAAUCAAACAGGAGCUUAAUAUUACUUCAAACUCUAAUCACUCAUUAAUUUAUUAUUAUUAUUAUUAUUAUUAUUGUUGUUGUUGUUGUUGUUGUUGUCGUCGUCGUCGUCGUAAUAUGUGAGUUCAGGAGUGCAAUUAAAGCUAGCAACAAAAUGAUGGUGAAAUGAAAACUAAUAGAGAACUGGAGGAUUUCUGUCCUCUAGAAUUGAUUGUAUAACUACUACAGAAGUUGAAAUUUAAUUAUUUUUAGGUUUUAGAAGAAGUUACUUGUUUUCUUCUCGGAACUAAUUUGUUAGUGAGAUAAUAGGCUAGGGACCAACUAUGCAAUUUUUGCUUUGCCUUAUAUAAACUCUUUGUUUUACACAAAUCAACAUAUCAAGAUCAUCAACUCUUUAAGUCCAACCUCCAUUUUAUUCUAUAAGUCUACAUGGUGGUUGAUCCUCAUUGAAAAUUUUCAUCCAACUAACAAUGACACAACUCUCACAUUUCUUUUGGAAUGAUGCUAUAGAUAAAUACUUAGCUUCUUUGAUGUAAAUAUUAUAAAAUAAAUUUUAUAAAAAGUAAUUUUCUUUUUGAAAAUUGUGUGAUAAAAAAUAAGAAAAAGUUAUUGAUCAAAGUGCAAAAUUAUUUUAUUAAGAAAAUAUGUUGUUGACAGUAAGUUUUGAAGAAAAAACUAUGAAAAAUCUUUACCAAACAUGUACUUAGCUGUGUUAGGCUCAUGUUCAUAAAUUGUUUAUCAAUUAUCGAGUCACUUUUUAUUCGUAUAUUUUGAGAGAUUCACAAGUAUUAUUCACUUAUCUAUUAAUAAUUUUAUCCACUAAUAUUACAAUCCUCCAUUUGCUAUAUGGCUUGGGGAUUAGUAACAAGGGAAAUCCAGGGUAAUGUGGCAUUAAAAAAAUUUCAAAUGACAAAACGAAUAGAGAGAGAAGAAAAGGGUAAAAAAAAAAAAAAGCUUCUGUAUAAAAUAUCCCCAAAAUUUCAACAAAAUCCACUCGCAACUGAAACGCUCGUCCGUUCACUUGAAGGCUACGGCCGGUCACCUUGCCAUCUCUAACCACUCACCAUCUCUGUUCACCGCCAGAACUCAAUUUUUGAAAAUCAUUCCGAUUUCAUUUCCAUAUUUUCCACAAAUUUCAAACCCCCCACAACGGUGGUAUGUGAACGACAUCAUUUCCCGAAGUCAUCAUCGUGAUUUAAUUUCGACACUCGUCUAUAAAUUUAUUCCCAUUUCUUUGUUGUGCUCCGAUUGAGAAGGGGCUGCCAACGAUUCUCAUUUUGUCCAGUAGCCCACAGUGAUUAUCCCACAUGUGUGUUUGGGGUUAGUUUAAUGAUUUUAUGGAAGGUUUUUUUUUUUUUUUGGAGUGUUGUUGUUGUUUCACAAUUACUUCUAGUUUGAAUAUGUAGUAUGUAGUGUUUGUUUGUUGAUGGUCAGCGCUGUGUGUUGUAAUUAUACUAUUGCUGCAUUUUGUAGUUUCCUCUUUCUAGCUUUCGAAUUUCCUUUAUUUGUAGGUUAGAAUGGUUGGAAAGAACUCUGGAAUCUGUCAUAGUUGUAGAGCUAAGACCCACUUCUUCAAUGACUGCCCAAGGAAACCCCCAUGCUCAUCAUGUAAGUGUGGACUUGAAAAUUGUUUCGUGGUGGAGAAGGAGACUGUCAAUAAAGGAAAAUUAUUCAUUUUCUACAGUGACAAAUUGUGGAUUUUUGGAGUGGGUUGUCAAAGAAAAACCAAGCGGUGCAUCUAGUAGGGCUACACUAAAUUCGUCACCCCUAUGACAAGUGAAACAGUAGAUGAAAUAUCCCGUAGUCUUGAAUCUCAAAUUCAGCUAACUGGGCAAGAUGAGCUGAAGAUUUCGGUGGAUGUUACAGUCCAAAUGGACAAAGUGAGUGCAGUACAGAAUGCCAAAGGAAAGCUGCUGAAUUGAUUAGUAGAUAGUGUUGAAACUACCGUAGUUAAUUCACAAACUAUAUCUAUGUAUGGAGCUUCAAUUUUCACCCUUUUGUUGUAAAAUCCAUGGUUAUAUCGAAUGCAGUGGCGAGUUGUCGAUUUUUUGAACUUUUAAAAUUGAACCUGUGAUAGACUCUUGUGUUUGUAUAUUGCUUUCAAAUGGCAUUUCAAGUCUCAACUGGUGCAACUGUCAUUGUGUUGGCCCAUUUAGUUAGUCAAAAUAGAAUAUUGCGUAAAUAAUUUAUUGGUGAGCAGGGAUAGAAAUUUGACCAAGAUUAAACUAGAGUAGUGAGCUCAUAUUGACGACAACUAUCAUUGCCUAACUAAGAGAACUAUACAAUAUAAAGAUUGACCUAAAAUAGCUCAAAACAAACACAAAAUACUUUAUAAAGCACUAAUUUGUUCAGCAAAAGGAAUUGGUGAAUUAGUGGAAGUGUGUUUAACACCUGAAAGAAAGAGGACAGCUAUACAGCUUAGAAGUCAUGAAUAAACCUCACAAAACAAGAAUUCAUUGUUUAAUCACAAAACUUUGUAUUUCAAGCAAAUUCAAUAAGGUUGCUCUAGCAACUAUAUAGAGCAUGAACACUAUCAAGGUUUACUAGUGGUUCAACUUCAAUUAAACAUUAGUCGCAAGCAAUAAGUGCAAACAUCAGUACCCAAGGAUAUCUUUCAGCUUCACUUCAAUUUGUUAGCUGGAAUGCUUCAUGCCUUUUCAAUUCAUAGCCGAAAUUGAUAAACAUGUUGAAGCCUUUCAAGUGCUUUUGUUGGUGCCCAGAACUAUCACAGUAACUGUAACUACCCGCAUGAACACCCAUCAACUGCUCCAUGCUGAAACAUAGAAAAAACAGAAGAGUUGAAUCACAAAAGAAAAAGAGGAAUCACAAAGCUUGUUUAUGAUUUCGUAAACAUUUGAAUAAUUGCAAAUACAAGGUCAUGCAAACAAAAACCGAUACUGAUGUGUUGAACAAAUAGAAUGGCAAACUAUAACAAUCUGCCACAUAAUAUAAUUGAACUUUACUAGAUGUACAUCCAACUUCAAAAGCCAAAGCGACCUUGGUCGCGUAGGUUUGGAUUCCAGUAUGUCAUUGGUAGACCUACAUUAGACUUUGACAUGAGAUAGGAUUUUAGAGGUGUUGAAAUGAUAGAUUGAAUUUGAAGUUCAUGUAGCGACCCAUGUGAAUACCUUGCGAACUAUAUAUAACAUUUGCGGAGGCUAAAGGGAUGACAUUUGAACCUUGUGUAGGGAUGGCAUACUGUGAAAGUGGGAAUGGUGACGAUGUGGAAUAAGCUUGCUGCUUAGCUGGCUCAACCCUGAUUGUGCCCUCCUACAUAUUAUUCUACCUCGAUUUAGGUCUCUUUCCUUUUAUCGAUGUCAAAUUGGCCUGUACAUGUAUGAAAAAAUUCAGCUUAUAUAUACUUCACAAUGAUUAUAGAUUAGAGGCAAACAUUUUAACAUAUCUUCGAUUUCUUCGAAGUUAGCUCCAAUGGGCUUUUCCUCCGUAGUUUCUUCAACGCACCCUUCCUACGAGUACAUGUGGGAUCCAGUAUGCUCCACCUCGAUAUAUGUUGUAAAUGAGUACAAUGAUUCGGUAUUUGAGAAGCAUGCGCCAAAAUUUGAUUUCUUUCACCACUCGAGUUUGCGCUAAUAAGUAGACGAGAAUAGUUUUGUUUCCAAUCCAUUGUCGAACGUAACCACCGUUCACCAUCUGUAGCAAGGUCAGCCACCUGUGCAAAAGUUUGACAUAUCUCAUCAUAUCUCAACUAUCCAGUAGUGGUAACUAAUCCAUCUUAGUUCACAGCGACCCUCGUGUGUGCUUUGCUAAUGUUUCUCUGCCAUCUCCGCAGUAUGUACCUCUUCAAUAGACAUGUCACAUCAUUAUGGAUCUAUACUGCAAUCGCAUCCCUAUAUAUUAUUCUUCGAAACUCGAACAAGUGACUGCUGCAAAUGAUAGCACACGUCUCCCUUCGAAAUGAGACAAAGAAUAUUUUUUUUCCUCGGACCGCACUCAAAAUUAAUAACUUUGCUGACCUCAUAUGUUGACCACAAGCAUCUCUUAGUAGUGGAUAUGAUAUCAUAAUAAACUUUCCCCGUGAACUCCGCCUGAAUCUCCCUGAAUUUAGAAAUUGUAUACACUGUCUCAAAUUACUUUUUCCAUUUCAAACUGUGUUGCACAAUGUACCAUUUGAGAGAAUGAAUUGAAAUCAGCCUUGAAUUCCUUCUCGACCUUAUUACUUAGCGUGUGUUCAUAUUGUUCGACAAAUUGCUUCAAAGAUGUCUUUGAAUGUAUAUUCUCACUUCUUUGUGUUGUUGACAUCCCAGCCUAAAAAAUAGUUUUCAAAAAGUGCGGAACCCAACGAUCUCUGUUGUCGUAUAACUCAGACAACCAAUCAUUAUCCUGUAAGCUUAACCUAUUAACCAUCGCUUUCCAAUCGUCUUCAAAUGCUUGAAAAAACUGCGAGUCAUAUACCAAAUUGUGUUUGGCCACGAAUAUUGAACUCUUAUCCGUGUGAUAACCAAACUUUUCUAGCAGUUUUUUCAUAAUAUGCCACAAACACCGUCUAUGCUUCGUAUUUGGAAAAACUAUCCAAAUGGCAUUUUGCAUGACCCUAUCUUAAUCUAUAAUUAUUCCUUAUGGAGCUCGACCCUAUAUACAUUGAAGUCACGUCCUGAACAACCAGACAAAACUGUUUGUGUCUUCAUUUGAUAAUAUACCACAACCGAGAAGCUUUGAUUUUCCAUGGUGAUUCACGCCGACAAAAAGGGCAAAUAGCAUAUCAUACUUAUUGGUGAGAUAAAUGGUAGCAAAUGUAACGACAUCUCCAAACUCCUUAUAUGAUUGGCUACAUUGCUUAUCUGCCCAAAAUACAUUUUUUUGGCCAUAAAUCGUAGUCCAAAUCCAUACUGAAAUAAAAGCCCGAGCAUUGUGCUUGCAUCUUUGCAAAAUAGGAUUGUAUUGCUACUGUGUCUCUUUGCCAUGUCUUGAUCGUUUCAAUUGUUCUAUAUAAUUCCGACAAUCCUUCUUAAUGCAAGUCAUGUUCUCAUAACCACCUGCUACUACAACGGCAAAGUUGUAACUUUUGUGCGACGGAAUUCCUGCCAAAUCUUUCAUUUCAAGCUUCCUUUUGACUUGUGUACUUAAUUCCCAAUUGGAUCGAUAUAACCUUAACUUUGACGAACUUAUUUCUUGAUUAUGGUCAAGGUAAACCACGUUAAUUCUCCAUGUUCCAUGGGUAUUUGAAAAUGCGGAUAUUCUGCCUUUACAACCCAUCCAAAUUGUUGGUUGUGGCUUCAAAGAAUCGCUAGUGUCGCUGCUCCUCCAACCUUCACGGCUACAAGUGAAAGUCACAUACCAUAAAACUUCAUCGUCCCCUUUUUUGAAUUUCUUUCUUCAUUGAAAAACCUACCGCAUAAGCAUACUUUUUGUAGAACUGAAAUAUCUCUUUCUCAUCUUCGAAUAUCAUACCAACCUUAGGUACAAUCACAUCAUCUCCCUUUGAUAUUAUUCCUUCCACCAUGUUCGCGAUUUUCGCAACAUUUUCAUUACAUAAUCAUACAUUUUUCUUUACGUUCUCAUUAUCAGAUUCUACUAGAACAUCACAGUGCUCGUCUUGCUCGUUGUCUAUAAUUUCUUCAGCUGUGAUAAAAACAUUGUUCACGUUUAGUAUGCUUUUAAUUCGUAUCGAGUAAUAAACUUUAUAUGUGAACAACUGAAGCCAGGCUGCAAAUAUAUAUAUAUAUAUAUAUAUAUANNNNNNNNNNNNNNNNNNNNNNNNNNNNNNNNNNNNNNNNNNNNNNNNNNNNNNNNNNNNNNNNNNNNNNNNNNNNNNNNNNNNNNNNNNNNNNNNNNNNNNNNNNNNNNNNNNNNNNNNNNNNNNNNNNNNNNNNNNNNNNNNNNNNNNNNNNNNNNNNNNNNNNNNNNNNNNNNNNNNNNNNNNNNNNNNNNNNNNNNNNNNNNNNNNNNNNNNNNNNNNUAUAUAUAUAUAUAUAUAUAUACACACACACACACACACACACACACACACACACACACACACACACACAACAUCAUAUUCAUGAAAAGCAAACUUUUACAUGUUCUUAUUUGCUAAAAUUCAUUAAACAUACUUUCAGAUGUGCAGCACACUCGCGAAAUUUUAUUUUACCAAUUGCAGUUGACUAUACAAAAAGACAAAAGUAGCUAAAUUUCAUUUUGAAGAGAAAACUCAUUAAGUCAAAGUUUAAAGACUAGGCAUAGAGCUGAAUUCUCAUAGUGGACAACAGCAAUAGUUGCCAAAUUUUACGCUAUAUAACAAACGACAGUGUACCACACAAAUUUACACAUAGAUUUGAGGAAAGUACUUCACUCUUUUUCGCAAAUAGCAGUUUGGUACAAGAGUGAUGAUAUCUUUAUGGAUUUGGGGAAAGUGGAGCUUCACUCUUUUUUACAAAUAGCAGUUUAUUAACUGCAUAGGAGUGACGAUAACUUCAGGGUUUUGGGAAAAAUAGAGCUUCACUAUUCUUUGUCUUCAAUGCAAGAAUGAGGCAUAAAUGGAGAAUGAGGGGUCAAUGAGCUCACGUAUCUUAGUCAGUAUUCGACGAGAUCGAAGUUAACUGUUGUUGGGCUUCAAUGGUCGGAACUCAGAGGUGUAUUUUCAAUCUAUUUGGGAGAGUAGCGUUUUGAAAUUCAUUCAGGCAAGUCAAACGGGUCGGAGUCAGUAAGAAUUUAAUUCGUGUUCCCAUCUUUCCUUCACUCCUAGAUUCCUCCUUUUUCCAACAAUGGCAUGUCGAUUGUUUUAAAAUCCUGUCACCAAAGAUUGUCACUGAACCUAUCCAUUUAGACUAAUUGUUAAAUUAUUUUAAAGAAUUUAAUUUAUUUUAUCAAAAUCCUUUAAAAUCUUCCCCUAUCCUAAAUCUAGCCUACCUAUGCCCUUCCUUCCCUAAGCCCCCUCUCUCGAUCGAUCUCUCUAUUGGGCCCAUUUGCAACCUUCAAUCCCAACAGUAAAAUCUUCUCCCAUUGCUUGCCUUUUUUCUACAUCAUUUUCAUUACAUCCUGUCCAUUUUUCUAUUCUCGAAAUUUUACAAAUUAAUUUGUUGAAGUUCCUGAAUACUAGUUUGGAUCUUCACUUUCUUUAUAUGAGUUUAAUGUUAACCCUUCAAGUAAAUUUAUUUGUACUCAUGACAUUUUGAAAUAAAAUAAUAAUUUAAUUUUCAAUAAAUUAUUUAUUUUAAUUUAAGUUUGUAUUUUGCUCAUAGAUCGACUUGAUAAUAUAAAUCCAGUGUUUAAGUUGUUAAACACAGAAAAAGAUUAAAUUUAUAAUUUGAUCUAAAUGGUCCACAAUCGAUAAAUUAAGACAAUCAAUUUAUAAUUUUCUCAAUUUUAUUUAAAGUUGAUCCUGAAUUUAGUAAUAAAAUUGAUUGUACAUUUUGGAAUGUAAUCGACUAGACCACGUGAAAUUGAUUUAUGGUAUUGACCCAUAUGAAUUUAAUUUCACUUGACUAUUGUACAUAGCCUUAAUUCUGAGCGGGUAAUGAAAUUUAAUUAAUAACAUGAAAUUCUUUGAGGUAUCGAUGAGUGAGAUGAGAUUGCAAAUCAAUAUUUUGGUGCCUUGGGAAUUAAAGUGAAUAAUUGGAGAACAUAUAUUCGCGAUAUGGAAUCCAUAACCUAUUCAAUAGGCAUGAUGUGGACCUCAAGAGAUUUUGCUAGUGGACAAUUAAAUUCUGAGCUCGAUAAUUUGACAUUAAUUGUUGAAUUAAUAGUAUGAUGUGAUCACAUGAAAUUAUCACAUAAAAAAAUAAGAUUUAGGACUUAAUGUCUAUUUGGGAAAAGGGUAUUUUGGUCAUUUUACCUUGUUCCAAAUGUCCAACAUGAUUAACGGGCGUAAUAUGUGCGAACAAUAUGUCAAAUUAUAUAAUUAUUCUAGCUUUAGUCAGUUUAAUGAAGUUAAGAAUGCAAUCUCAUUCUUUUAGUGGAAUAAAACGUGUUUAAUAAAUUAUCUAGACCGAUUAAGAGGUGAUCGAGUCAAGAUUAAUUUAUCAUAGCUUAAUUUAAUUGGGUAUGUUUGGUCCCUUCUUUGGCUUCAAAAUAAGAACCGAAAUUAAUUAUAAGAGUUAUAAUAUAUUAUUAUUAACUAUAGAAAGAUAAAUUAAUCAAAUCAAAAUGUGUCACACAUGUGCUGUGCAUGUCCAUUUAAGAUAUGGAAGACUUUGAUUUGGAUGAGAAUUAAAAGUGUUCUUUUUAUUUAGGAUGUUUACCCAAACAAAAGAAAGAGUUCUUUUGGGAUUGUAAUACUCCUCUCAUCAAAUUCAUAUCAUAAAGACACUCACAUUAUGUUUUAUUGAAUAAGCAAGAUCACGAUAAUUCUUGUCCCUACACACGAAAGAAAUCUUUGUAGUUUUGAGUUCUUGACCAAACGGUUUGACGGUGAAUCAAGAGGAUAAAAUAAAUAGACUUGACGAUGGAAUCAAGAAGAUCAAAGGAAUUUUUGUAAAGCACGGUACAAGGGUAAUUCUUAAAACACUUAUGUGUUUAUCAAUGUUUCAUAAUUAUUUUAUUCUUGUCGACACAAUAUUUAAUAAAUUCCUUAUAUUUUUCCAACACGUUCAACCUGGAUCUAUCAAACUAUUGGCUGCCCAGUGUCAUCAAUAGACCACCCGCAUGAUUGAAUUUAGAACUAAGAAGGUAAACCCACAUGUAUGAAUUAUAGAAAAAGAGUAUCUUAGAGGGCUAUGAUUUUGGCCAAGAUUUAAUGAUCUUGGAACAUAAUGAAAAUUUCUAUUGUGCUUAAAAGCACAUGAAAUUAAGUAAAAUGGAACAUAUGUAUUAAAUGCAAGGAAUUUUAAUCGAUCAUGUGGGCAUAUAUGUAUAAAUUAUUGUGUAUUAAAUUAAAAGCUAUCAAAUUUGGUUAGGCUCAGUUUAAAGUGAUUUAAUAAGAUUUCGAUAAUUUAAAGCAUGGGCUUUUAUGUGUAGAGAUCGGUCAUUGUUCCUAAUCCCAUGAUGAGCCGAAUUAGGUUAACAGGCAAUCAGUAUAUAAAUACAGUUAUGGUCCCCAAAUCACAGGGAUUGAUCAUUAUGUUCUGCCUCCCAUCACUAGAGAAAAAAGGAGCUACUUGUUGAUUUCAAAGACAUAACCGUAGGAUUCAAUCGUUGCAAUUAAUAAUGUCUAAUUCAGGUACGCUUCCGCUUUAGUUUAUGUGUUCUUAAUGAUCCAAAAUGAUAGAUUUGGCUAUUUUACGGUAAUAAUUUUUCCUACAAGUGGUAUUGGAGCCAACUUUCAUGUUGAAUCAUUGAGAAUUGAAUAUUUAUUUGGUUAUUGUGACAAUUUCAAUAUUUUCAAAUUUAACAAUUCCAGAUCUAUAUUUUGUUAAAUUUGAAAACUUUUACGGCAUGUUUUUUCUUGUUGUCUUCCAUAAUUUUUUUUUAAAGUUAAGGAAUUUUAGAUUACGAUUUUUUUAAGGUUAAAGUUUAAAAAAAGUCUUUCGAUGGCGCAGUACCGCUGUUGUGUGAUGCUGCGGGUGGUAAAGGAUCGUAGCGCGAUGGCCCGUGCAACAUCCGACCUAGCGCUGCCAAGGGGGAAGAAUGAAACUCUUUUUUUUUUAGGGUUUUCAGUUUGGGUGAAAUUUGGGGACGGGGGCCUCACUGAAAAUUGGUUUAUUUGAGGCACAUGUUUGCAAUUUCAUAUUAGGGUUAUAAUUUUAAAGUUUCAGUCCCUAAUGUUUAAAGUUCAUCCAAAUUGGGCUCUUAAGUUAUGGAUUUAAUAAUUCAGUCCCUAAAGUUUAAAAAAUUAAUUAAUUUGGGUUAUUAAAGUUCUGAAUUUUGUAAUUAAAGCCCUCAAAGUUUCUAAUUUCUUCACAUUGGCCCCUAAAGUUUUGAAUUUAUUAAUUUUUGCCCCUUAAAGUUUUGAAUUAUUAACUUUUAGGCCCCUAAAGUUUAAAACUAAAUAAAAUAUGCAAAAUUGGUGGUUUUCUUUCUCAAACUUUGGUACUAAGGACUCUUUCGAAAGGCAUAAUAUUCUAAAGUGAAUGAAUUAAGCAACAUGUUGCCAAAGUAACCUCUAUUGUGGAAAUUAAUUAACUUAUAAUAUUAAAAUGUGUUUGUGUGCAUUAUACGUGCAAAUAUUGAUUGGCCCAAAGGAAGAUCAAUAUUUUGCCGAAUUGUAUGUGCAUCAGUGGUGAUAAACAUGUGGCAAUUAUUUGGUUUAAUGUGUGAUUAAUAAAUCGUACCAAAGAAAUGUUUAUUGGUUGACAUAUUAUUUUAUCAUUAGUGUUUGAUCACUACACCAAGAUACCACUUACAAGUCAAUAUUUCUGUCCAAAUACUAGAUAUUGAUGUUGUGCUAGGUAUCUUGUGAUAGGUCAUACCAUUAUUUGAGAUUAUUAUUAUUUGCAAUUGAGGAUACUCGUGUGAGCCAUUCGUAUUAAUUGUUCUCUAAUUUAGUUUUAAGUUUUACUGCUAAUAUUUAUACUAGCAUUAAUUCAAUUCCAAUGUUUAAUGGUACAAACUUCAAGACGUGACAAGAGAACGUAAUGAUUGUUCUCAAAGUCAUGGACCUGGACAUUGCUUUAUGGGUCGAUCAACCUUCUUCACUUACUGAUAAAAGUAUCUCGGAUGACAACAAAGAGAUGGAAAAAUGGAAAAAGAUCAAAUCGCAUAAGCUUAAUGUCAUAAAGUAUUCUAUUCCAGAAACAUUCUGGGGCACUAUGUCCGAUAAGGUGACCACGGCUAAGAGUUUCUUUGAGGACCUUGAUAAGAAGUUUGCUAAGAAUGAAAAAGCUGAAACAAGUACAAUUUUAGCACAGGUUGUCUCAAUAAGGUAUAAAGGGAAAGGAAAUACAUGGGAAUGCAUUAUAGAAAUGUCUUAAAUUGUUUCAAAGCUAAAGGCACUCAAGUUGGAUUUAUUUGAAGACUUGUUAGUGCACUUAGUUCUGAUAUCCCUUUCGGCACAUUUCAGUCAAUUCAAGGUGAGCUACAACUAUUUAAAGGACUCAUGGUCCCUUAAUGAGCUUAACUCACACUGUGUCCAACAAAAAGAAAGAUUAAAACAUGACAAGACAUAAAGUGCUCAUUUAGCCACCACCUCCAAUGAUAAAAAAAAACAAGAAAAAAAAGAAAAUGAAGCUACGGGUACAACCUCACAAAAGAAACUGCAUAAGGAACCAAUUGAAGGUGAUUGUUUCUUCUAUGGAGCUAAAGGUCAUAAGAAGAACAACUAUUCCUACUAUCACGUAUGGUGUUUCAAGAAAGAUAUUUUUCUUCAUUUGGUUUGUUCUGAGGUUUAUUUAACUUUGGUACAUAGAUAUACAUAGUAGAUAGAUUCUGGUACAACAACUCACAUUAGUGUGUCUAUGCAAGGUUGUCUGAGUUGUCGAAAACCAAAAGAUGGUGAAAGAUACAUCUAUGUUGGCAAAGACAAGACGGUGGAAGUAGAGGCAAUAGGAAAAUUUAGGUAAUUGUUAAAGACUAUAUUUUAUUUAGAACUUAAUGAGACAUUUAUUAUACCUUCUUUUAGACGAAAUUUGAUUUCUAUUUCUACUUUAGAAAAUUUUGAUUAUUCUUGUUCAUUUGAGAAUGGAAAAUUUAGUUUGUUUAAUGAUUCGAAAUUGGUUGGCUUCAGCUCUUUAACGGGUUAUGAUAAUCUUUAUUUAAUUGAUACAAUUGCUUUUGUUAAUGAAUCAUUGCAUGCAAGUACUCAAGGUGUAAAGCGAAAAUUAAUCGACGAGAAUUCUGCCUCGUUGUGGCACAAGAGAUUAGGUCAUAUAUCCAAGAGAAGAAUUAUGAGACUUGUGUCUGACGGGAUUCUCGAUCCACUUGAAUUCACAAAUUAUAAUUUGUGUCUCAACUGUAUAAAAAGAAAAUAAACCAAUAAAAGGAGAUUUCAAGCCAAACGGGACCUUGGACUUCUUAGAACUUAUACAUACAGACAUUUAUAGACCAUUCCCUACAAGUUCUUAGAAUGGUCAACAAUAUUUUAUAACAUUCAUAGAUGAUUAAAAGUAUCAGAUCUGAUCGUGAGGUGAAUACUAUGGCCGAUAUAACGGUUCAGGUGAAAAACGUCCUGAACCAUUUGCUAAAUUCCUAAAGGAUGUGAUAUCAUCCCAUAGUACACUAUAUCGGGUUUGAACACUAUAAAUGGUGUUGUUGAGAUACAAAAUAGAAUGCUUAAGGACAUGGUGACAAGUAUGAUUAGUCAUUCUACCUUAUCAGAAUCUCUCUAGGGUGAAGUAUUAAAGACCGGAGCGUAUAUACUCAACAGAGUUCUAACUAAGGCCACUGAUAAAACCUCUAAUGAGCUUUUGACGAGCAAGAGGCCUAGUUUGAAGCACAUAUAGAUUUGGGGAUGUCCAGUUGAGGUAAGGCCCUAUAAGCCAAAUGAAAAGAAAUUGGACGCAAGACCAUCAAUUGCUAUUUAAUUGGAUAUUCUAAAAGGUUCAGGGAUUACAAGUUUUAUGAUCCACAAUUAAGGCAAUUUUCGAGACAGAAAAUGCUCGAUUAUUUGAGGAUAUUGAAUUUGCAGGGGGAGAAAGGGUUGCAAGCUUUGUCUUUGAUAAGGACUAUGUUGAAAUUCCUUCAAUUACUAUUGACAAUGAUCAUAUUUCUAUCCCUGACAUUUUUUAAGAAGCAACUCAGGAUCAAGAUAAUGUCAUUGUAUCUAUCUCUCAAAGUCAACAAAUUGUUCCAAAAAAAAAAACAAACUUUACAACCUUAAGAACUGCAUAAGAAGAUCCAUUAGAGAGAGAAGAAGUGCGGUUUCAGAUGAUUACAUCCUAUUUCUCCUAGAACAUGAAGUUGACAUUGGAGUGGUGGAAGAUGAUUUGAUCAACCUCUGUUAAGCCAUGAAAAGUUCUAAUUCUCAAAGUGGCUCGAUGCCAUAAAUGAAGAGAUAAAGUCCAUGAAGGACAAUGAUGUAUGGGACCUCGUUCCAUUGCCUGAAAGUGCAAAUCCCGUUGGUUUCAAUUAGAUAUUUAAGAUCAAGAAGGAUUCGAAGGAUGAUGUAGAGAGGUAUAAGGCUAGUAUUGUAGCAAAGGGCCUUACACAGAAAGAAGACAUCCAUUAUAAAGAGACAUUCUCUCCGAUUUCUUCAAAACACUCGUUUGGGACUAUAAUGGCAUUGAUACCGCAUUUCGAUCUUGAGUUACAUCAAAUGGAUGUUAAGAUAGCGUUUUUCAGUACAUUUAUCAAACAAUUUAUAUGGUACAACCAGAAAACUUCGAAUCGGAUGAUGCAAAGGAAAUGGUUUGUAAACUAAAGAAAUCCAUCUAUAGACUUAAACAGGCGUCUCGUCAAUGGUAUUACAAGUUUCAUCAAGUGAUCAUCUCAUUUGAUUUUUAGAAGAAUUUGGUCGAUAAUUGUAUAUACCACAAGUUUAGUGGAAAUAAGAAUAUUUUUCUAAUUUUAUAUGUCAAUAACAUAUUGCUUGCUAGCAAAAAUAUAGGCCUAUUGCACAAAACAAGAGAUUUCUAGAAAAAAAUUUGAGAUGAAAGAUUUUGGUGACGCCUCUUUUGUAGGAAUUCAGAAACACCGAGAUCGUUCUCGGGGUAUCCUUGAAUUAUCACAAAAGUACUAUAUCGAAAAGUUACUUAAAAUAUAUGGUAUGUAAGAUUGUAAACCAGGUGACACCUCUGUGGCUAAAGGAGACAAGUUCAGUUUAAGCCAGUGCCCUAAAAAUUACUUGGAAAUUAAAUGAAUCCAGAAGAUUCCUUAAUCUUCAGCUAUAGGAACUUUAUGUAUGCUCAGGUUUGUAAGCGUCCAAAUAUAGCAUACAUUGUUGGGAUCGUAGAGAGAUAUUUAGGUAAUCUGGGAAUGAAUCAUUGGAAAGCAGCCAAAUGGGUCAUGCGGUAUUUACAGAGAACAAAAGACUGUAUGCUCGCACACAGGAGAUCAGAUCAGUUGUAGAUCAUCGGUUAUUCUGAUUUCCAUUUUGCGGGAUGCCAAAAUAGUAGGAAAUUCACUUCAAGCUAUAUUUACCUGCUUGCUGGAGGUGCUAUUUCCUGAAAAAGUACUAAACAGACACUCAUAACUACUUUCGUCAUAGCAGUGGAGUUUAUAGCGUGUUAUGAGACUUCAAACCAUGGAAUAUGGUCAUGCAAUUUUGUCACUGGGUUGUGCAUUGUGGAUAGUAUAGAAAGAUGGCUCAAGUUAUUUUGUUUCAAUAAAUUAGCAGUGCUGUAUUCCAAUAACAACAGGAGCUCGACGAAGUCGAAAUAUAUAAAGAUUCAACUGUACAAAAAGAAAAUAAACCAAUAAAAGGAGAUUUCAAGCCAAACGGGACCUUGGACUUCUUAGAACUUAUACAUACAGACAUUUAUAGACCAUUCCCUACAAGUUCUUAGAAUGGUCAACAAUAUUUUAUAACAUUCAUAGAUGAUUAAAAGUAUCAGAUCUGAUCGUGAGGUGAAUACUAUGGCCGAUAUAACGGUUCAGGUGAAAAACGUCCUGAACCAUUUGCUAAAUUCCUAAAGGAUGUGAUAUCAUCCCAUAGUACACUAUAUCGGGUUUGAACACUAUAAAUGGUGUUGUUGAGAUACAAAAUAGAAUGCUUAAGGACAUGGUGACAAGUAUGAUUAGUCAUUCUACCUUAUCAGAAUCUCUCUAGGGUGAAGUAUUAAAGACCGGAGCGUAUAUACUCAACAGAGUUCUAACUAAGGCCACUGAUAAAACCUCUAAUGAGCUUUUGACGAGCAAGAGGCCUAGUUUGAAGCACAUAUAGAUUUGGGGAUGUCCAGUUGAGGUAAGGCCCUAUAAGCCAAAUGAAAAGAAAUUGGACGCAAGACCAUCAAUUGCUAUUUAAUUGGAUAUUCUAAAAGGUUCAGGGAUUACAAGUUUUAUGAUCCACAAUUAAGGCAAUUUUCGAGACAGAAAAUGCUCGAUUAUUUGAGGAUAUUGAAUUUGCAGGGGGAGAAAGGGUUGCAAGCUUUGUCUUUGAUGAGGACUAUGUUGAAAUUCCUUCAAUUACUAUUGACAAUGAUCAUAUUUCUAUCCCUGACAUUUUUUAAGAAGCAACUCAGGAUCAAGAUAAUGUCAUUGUAUCUAUCUCUCAAAGUCAACAAAUUGUUCCAAAAAAAAAAAAAACUUUACAACCUUAAGAACUGCAUAAGAAGAUCCAUUAGAGAGAGAAGAAGUGCGGUUUCAGAUGAUUACAUCCUAUUUCUCCUAGAACAUGAAGUUGACAUUGGAGUGGUGGAAGAUGAUUUGAUCAACCUCUGUUAAGCCAUGAAAAGUUCUAAUUCUCAAAGUGGCUCGAUGCCAUAAAUGAAGAGAUAAAGUCCAUGAAGGACAAUGAUGUAUGGGACCUCGUUCCAUUGCCUGAAAGUGCAAAUCCCGUUGGUUUCAAUUAGAUAUUUAAGAUCAAGAAGGAUUCGAAGGAUGAUGUAGAGAGGUAUAAGGCUAGUAUUGUAGCAAAGGGCCUUACACAGAAAGAAGACAUCCAUUAUAAAGAGACAUUCUCUCCGAUUUCUUCAAAACACUCGUUUGGGACUAUAAUGGCAUUGAUACCGCAUUUCGAUCUUGAGUUACAUCAAAUGGAUGUUAAGAUAGCGUUUUUCAGUACAUUUAUCAAACAAUUUAUAUGGUACAACCAGAAAACUUCGAAUCGGAUGAUGCAAAGGAAAUGGUUUGUAAACUAAAGAAAUCCAUUUAUGGGCUCAAAUAGGCGUCUCGUCAAUGGUAUUACAAGUUUCAUCAAGUGAUCAUCUCAUUUGAUUUUUAGAAGAAUUUGGUCGAUAAUUGUAUAUACCACAAGUUUAGUGGAAAUAAGAAUAUUUUUCUAAUUUUAUAUGUCAAUAACAUAUUGCUUGCUAGCAAAAAUAUAGGCCUAUUGCACAAAACAAGAGAUUUCUAGAAAAAAAUUUGAGAUGAAAGAUUUUGGUGACGCCUCUUUUGUAGGAAUUCAGAAACACCGAGAUCGUUCUCGGGGUAUCCUUGAAUUAUCACAAAAGUACUAUAUCGAAAAGUUACUUAAAAUAUAUGGUAUGUAAGAUUGUAAACCAGGUGACACCUCUGUGGCUAAAGGAGACAAGUUCAGUUUAAGCCAGUGCCCUAAAAAUUACUUGGAAAUUAAAUGAAUCCAGAAGAUUCCUUAAUCUUCAGCUAUAGGAACUUUAUGUAUGCUCAGGUUUGUAAGCGUCCAAAUAUAGCAUACAUUGUUGGGAUCGUAGAGAGAUAUUUAGGUAAUCUGGGAAUGAAUCAUUGGAAAGCAGCCAAAUGGGUCAUGCGGUAUUUACAGAGAACAAAAGACUGUAUGCUCGCACACAGGAGAUCAGAUCAGUUGUAGAUCAUCGGUUAUUCUGAUUUCCAUUUUGCGGGAUGCCAAAAUAGUAGGAAAUUCACUUCAAGCUAUAUUUACCUGCUUGCUGGAGGUGCUAUUUCCUGAAAAAGUACUAAACAGACACUCAUAACUACUUUCGUCAUAGCAGUGGAGUUUAUAGCGUGUUAUGAGACUUCAAACCAUGGAAUAUGGUCAUGCAAUUUUGUCACUGGGUUGUGCAUUGUGGAUAGUAUAGAAAGAUGGCUCAAGUUAUUUUGUUUCAAUAAAUUAGCAGUGCUGUAUUCCAAUAACAACAGGAGCUCGACGAAGUCGAAAUAUAUAAAGAUCAAGUUCCUGGCUGUUAAAGAAAAAGUUCAGAGUCGACAGGUGUUAAUAGAGCAUAUCGAGACAAACUCCGUAGUUGCGGAUCUGCUUACUAAGAGAUUGAUACCCAAGGUCUUUCAUGAGGACACUACUCGUAUGGGUGUAAUAUCUCUUGAGGAUGUCUAGUUUCAAUAGAAGUUUGUAUUUUUGCUAUUCAUAUUGGACACAUGUACUGUUAUUUUGGAUAUAGUUUUUGGUUAAAAUUAUUUUCAAUUAUAAAGUUUUUCUUUGAUUUAUUACCUCUGAACUUCUUUGAAAAUGAUCUCACUAAGGUAUUAAGGUGGACCAAUUGGAAAGUUAAGAUCACAUCAUAUGUAUUCAAUGCUACACAUCCAUACUUGAUCCAUGUCAUUCAGUUAUAUCAAUAUACAUGACCAUUGAUGGGUUUAGUUAUGAUGAAAGUAGCGAGAACCAUAUUGAUCCUAUGUUAAUUGAUUGAUGGACCAAAUUGUUUGAAGAUGCAUUCGGUAAUGAUAGUAAAAUUCUAAGUACUCAUAAGGUUAUGUUUAAUGCAUAAUUAUAAAGUGACACAUAUUAUCCAAGUGGAAGAUUGUAAGGAAUUUUAAUCAAUCACGUGGACUUAUAUGUGUAAAUUAUUGUAUAUUAAACUAAAGACUAUUAAAUUUGGUUAAGCCCAGUUUAAAUUGAUCUAAUAAGGUUUCAGUAUUUUGGGCUUUAAUGCAUCUAAUUUAAAGUAUGGGCUUUUAUGUGUAGAGUUCGGGCCAUUGUUCCUAAUUUCAUGAUGGGCCGGAUUAGGUUAAUGGGCAACCAGUAUAUAAACACAGUUAUGGUCUCCAAAUCCCAAGGAUUGCUCAUUUUAUCCUGCCGUCCAUCACAAGAGAGAAAAAAGGAAUUACUUGUUGAUUUGGAAGCAUAAUCGUAGGAUUCAAUCAUUGCGAUUAACAAUGUUUGAUUCAGAUACACUUCCGCUUUAGUUUAUGUGUUCUUGAUGAUCCAACAUGAUAAAUAUGACCAUUUUACGGUAACAAUUUUUCCUACAAUAAAAAUGCAAUGAACCUGAAACGGCUGUUUGUUGUUAAAAAUUUAAUAUAGUACCAUUUCAUUGGGUCUUGAUUAGGAUUGAUUUUAGAGCCCAACUUCUAAUUGUUUUAUAGUCAAAAUUAUUAUUUUUAUUUAAUAAACAUAAAAAAAAAACUUAUUAUAAAAGAAUUUGUGCCAAUCCGACAACAGAUUUCGAGUAGUAAUAGUUUUUCAGAUACUGCUUUUAGUAUUUUCCUAUCAUGGAUGAUUAAAAUUAUACCUAUUCUAAACUUUAUUAGUUAAACAUAUUGCUUUUUAGUCAUAAAUUUAUCGAUAUUUCAACAAUAAUGUAUAAUUCUAUCAUUUAAAUUUAUUUGAAUAUUUUUUAUACUAACGAAUUAUGCUUUUUUUUUUUUUGUAAUUUUUUAAACUUUGAGAUUUAUUUAAUUUUUUUCUUCAUUUUAUAAUAACCGUGCUUUGGAUAUUUUUUUUUUUUUGAAAAAAACCAUAUAAUUAUAUAUCAUUAUAAAAGUUUAAAUAAAUUUUAAAAUACUACAAAUGAUAACAAUAUUAAAAUGACAUUAUUAUAAUCUAUGUCCUUUAUGGUAUUUAACAAAUACGUAACUGAUUAUUCUCACAUAUUUUUUCUUGAACACAACAAAAGUAGAUUCUCUUAAAAGCAUGGUCAUGUCAUCCCAAGCUCUCCACCAAUGCAAAAAUAGAUAAACAUUUUCUUUGAUGAGGUGAUUUUCACAAUCCCUGACUACUAAUAAUGCCACAUUUUUCAUAUCGCCACUACUGCCUAUUAACAAUCUAUCUUGACUACUAUGUCCUUCUUUGGCUUGUCUAAUGCUUCAACUAUAAAGUUUGUCAAUGUCAUAAAUGGUUAAACCCGCAAUUUUAUUCUUGUACUGUGUGGCUAGAUUAUAAUGAUUUUUUCUAUUUGAAGCAACAUAAAAAUUAAACAAAACAUAAGUCUGAAACUGUGUCAUCUAUUGUGCUUGAUAUUUGUAUAUAUAUGUUAAAUAAAAUGAUGUAUAAAAUUAUAUUUCUUUAACUAAAAUCAUGUGCAUGUAAAUACGAUAAAAUCGUAACUUAAUAGUGCAAAUUAUUGAAUAGAGUUACGACUUAUCAAAAUAAUGAUACGUGUAUAAUAAUGAUUAAAUCACCACUUACUAAAACAUAAAAUUAGAAGGAUAUAAUAUGAAACAGUGCAUGCGAUUGCAAAUUUCCUUAAGACAGAUUUCUCCUCCGGCAUUACUACUAACAGAAUUAAAUGGAUGUCUCCCAAUAUACAAUUUUUACUACAAAAUUAGUGUGGCAAAAUAAUAAAUUUGCCUUACUAACGAAAACAUGAAUGUGCUCUUCAAGACUAGAUGAUAUCGAAUAUUAAAAUAUUGAACACAAAACUCGAAAAUAAUUUGAAAAUUAUUUUGAGAAGGAAUCUUUUAAAAAUUGAUUUGGAGUAAAGAAAAUAAAACUAGGAGAAUCCAAUUUAUAGAUUUCAAUAUAUCUUUUUCAAAAUGAUAGCCUUUUUUUGGUACAAAAUUCAUUUGGAUUAUCACGUGGUAGCCAGCAACAAGUCAUUUCAGUCCUUCACUUCACUCACCGGUCUACAUGGUCUCAUUGAGGCCGUCAAAUUGGGGAAGUCAAAGUGAUGCAUCACCUAAUCGAAGUGUCACGUCGAGGUCAAACCUCCAUGGUCGAGGUAAGGUGUCACGAUCUGUUAUUGCCUAUUAUCAAAGCGACAGGUUUUUGAAUGCACAAAUGCAUCUUUGUUCCUUUGCUUCUUUCAAGAGAUCUUAUGUACAAGAUCUUCUGUAAUUGAUUAACAUGACCUCUCGGUAACAGACACCUCUCAAUCAUCUUGUCAAUCUACAUUCAGAUGUCAAACCUAGACGAUAGAUAGGUGACCACUUUAAAAAAUCAUUAAAUGUCCUUUGAACUUAGGACUGCGAGGUGAUACAUAAGAGAUGAUGCAUUGAUUGUUAACAUGAGGUCACUUAUCUUUCAUCCAAUAAUAAUCCCUUCAAACUCUCUCACUAUAAAAUUUCACACUUAAUGUUAUGUGAACAUAAUGCAACUUUACACUUUCAGUAGUAAUAUUGUUCGUCAUUAUUGUUUCCUCUCCACAACCCAUUACCCGUACACAUUUUUGUGGCUCACGUCUCCCGUUCAUCCACACAAAAAAAUAUGUAAGUUGAGUGACUUGAUCGUUGAUACUCACAGCAGCCUCCUUACCAUUGGAGGACAUGUGCUUCUAACAAUUUGUACAAUUGUGUCGGAGUCGUGUGUGGACAUGAGUAGAGCUAGAAUCUAUUAACAACGUCAUCGAUCAAAAACCAAGGUGAACAACAGUAUAAUGCUAAGGAAAACUAAGGUUGCAAUUCUUUUGAGUGUGGAUAAACUACAACUAACAUAGCUCUUGUGUGACUUCAACGUGUGACUCAAUUGCUUCCAUGAAGCCGCAGUAUGUUACCUAUCAGUGGAAAAAGAGAUUUAUUUGUAUCUCAUAAAAUUAGAGAAUAACAAUUUAUCCGUUGAUUUAUGAUCACUUAUUUGAGAAUCAAAUAUCUCGUUUGUUGACUUUAUCGUUAAGAAAAUUGAUAUAAAAAAAAAUGUCUAUCAACGAUGACUUUUUUUUUCUUUUCCCCAAAAUAUCCUAACCUACAUUAUCUCUCGCCACCUUAAACGUGAUACAUACAAAUUUUACCUGUUUACUAAUUUUAAUGUAAAAAAACUAGGAAAUUGACACAAGUACCACUAAAUUGGGCAAGUUAUCAAUUAUGGCACUUUAUUAAGUUGACUAAAUUGAUAUUUGUGUGUACAAAUUUUGCACAUAAUUUUGCCUUCAUGUCUUCCAGUGACAAUGUGCUAUAUAAUCAUAAGCAAGAGCAUAAUCAAAGCCAACAAUAACACACUUAAAAAUACUAAAUAACACAUAGACCACGAAAAAAUAACUAGCAUAUAAUCUGAAUCUAACCCUUGUGGUGGCUAGUCACCUAAUGUUCAAAGGUUGAGUUUUUUUCUAUCUCGACUUAGUGGUACUUGAAUAAACUAGAACUUCUUCCUCUGAACGAAGUAUUGCUUGUCAACAUUCCCAUCAGCCAUCAAUUUUGUGGGAUGUAAAACAUGUCAACUCUAGUCCCAAAGCAUUUGGUUCAGAAGAAAAUGUUACUUCCCAGAGCAGAGUGAAUCUCUGAGUCCUCACUCAAUUGUGAUCCAUUAGCAUUCCUCAUUGGACCAUUAAAAGAGAUGUCUAUACUAGGGCCAUGUAAAACUCUCAAAUCGAAUUGGAUCAAAAUGAAUUGAGCAUUUCGGUUAAAUUUUGUUUAAGUUAAAUACACGAACGGGUAUCAGAAUCGUGAACUAAUGAGUUUGGCUCGGUUCUCGAUCAGGGGUGAAUCCAGGGUCUUAGUUCAAUUAGGGCAGACCCGAACGUUGAACGUUAACUGUCAACAGUCAGCAUCCGUGAUGGGCGAAUCAUUUAUUAAUAUUCAAUUAAAUAGUAUUCAAAAAAUCGUACGGACUAGAACUAGAUACAACACUAGAACUGGAACUAUGUACAAACUUUCAUUUCGAAUGAAAAAAUAGUUCCAUAAUCUGCAAAAUUGCCUUUAUUUAUUUUUCAAUUAAACAAGCAAUAUAUGUUAACAAAAUGUCAAUAUUCAGUUUAUAAUUAAAGUUAAUUAACAAGUAUUAUUAAUUUAUUAUAUUAACAAAGUUCAAAUUAUUUAUAAUCUUCCAAAUCUAAUGAACUAGCAAUAACUUAACACGAACUAGAACUAGAAGGUAGGGAUUUCAUCUUGAAUUAUUGAUCACAAAUCAUAGUCAUAACUCAUAAAACAUAAAACAUAAAACAUAACUAGUAAAACACAAGUCAUAGAUUCAGAGCUCAAAAAUAAAACAUAAAUCAAAAAAAUGAAUUAAAAGGACAAAAAACAAAAACAAAACAAACAAACAAACAAACAAAAAAGUGAAAGAGAAGAGAGGGCUCACAAGUCACAUGCGUGAGCGGCACUCAGGCAGACUCUGUUGAGGCAAGAGUAGCCCAUUCUUAUUUCCUGAAGAAGAUAUUAUUAUACAAAAAAGUAAGUUUACAGGUUUGCAUAAUUUGCAUUAAUCCAAGGCAGACACAUGGAAAUCGAAAAAAUGAGCCAUUAGAACUUAGAAGUUUCUCACCAGCACAUAGGCGUCCUCUUUCUAAUGCCACCAAUUGAGGUUUUGAGCACCGAAAUAACUAAUAACAUCUGCAGCCAACAUUAGGGAGAAGGAGAGUAGUUACAGAAGGGUUUGCUACGAUUAUUGCCUCUGAUUUGGAGGUGUGAUUGCAGUUAUGUGUAUACAUCCAUCAAUCAACAUCCAUGGUUUGGGUCUAAUUUUUUUUCAAACAAAGAGGCCCAACUCGUCUGCCCAAAGAAAAAGGCCUAAACUAAAAAAAAAAGGACCCAAAUUCAAAUUUUCAUCUUCCUCCUUCGGUCCUCCCUUCUUCAGUUCAGUUGCGGCUCUGCAACUUCCAAUCUUCCACCUGGCGGCUAGCGAAGACUCCGACGGAUCCAGUUAGGGAGGCCGCCUAAGCUUGUCACUACCUGGAUCCACCAAUGUUUUCGAUUCUAGACGAAGAAUUGAAUAAUUGAAUCUUCCUAUAUUUUUUUAUAUUAAGCCCCUAUUUGGUACUAAAUAAAAUAUAGAUUUUAAUCUAAUUUAAAGCCAACCAUUCAUUUCUACAACAUAUUUCAUGGGUCUCAUAACCUUUCAACCAUACAUUUCAUCAACUUCUAUCGAAAUAUACUAAAAAUUCGAUUUUAAUUGCUACCAAAUAGGGGCUAAAUAAGUUAAACUAUUUUAUUUAUUUAUUUAUUUUUGUAAAUAAAUUUGCCAAUUAAUUAAUCGAGCUUAAAGUAUCAUUUUCGUGUUUUCAGCCCAAGCCCAACUUUGUAAUUCAAAUUUCAAAGAAUCAAAAUUGAGUUUCUUAAGUUUUUCUAAAUUAUCUUGCUAUUCUCAAAUAAUUGAAGUUGAGCGGUUGCACCUCUUUUUAUCUUAUGAUUUUUCAACCCCAUUUAUUGAAUUUUCUCCACUUUGAUCAAGGUAAGCUAAUCUUCUUCUCAUUUCUUUCUAAUAAUUUCUUACGAUUCAAUUUAUAAAUACUAUAAUUUAUAAUUAGUAUUCAAGAUAUUUAUUGUGAGCUCGCGCAUUUGUGUGUUUUCCUUUAUUUCAGUAGUUACCUUCUUUUCUAAUAAUUUCUCAUGCUUCGUUAUAUAAACAUUAUGAUUUAUAACUAGUGUUCAAGAUAUUUAUUGUUAUUUGUAUAUUUUUAAAUUGGACUACGUUAUUUUCUAAGAGUUAUUGUAGUGUUGCUGUAAGAAUUCAGAUUGAACAUGUCAUUAGUUGGAUUAAUGUAAUAUUGUUGUAAAUGUAAUAAAAAAAUUAAUUAUGGUACGGAACCAAAUCGAAUUCAAAUGGAGGCGAACCAGUAUGGUUCCACUUAUUAAAUACUCGAAAAUUCUGAUUCGAUUAAAUGACACAAAGAUGUAUUUAUUUCAAUUAAGAAUUUCAUGGAAGAAUUUUCUGAAUAUGAAUGCACAAAAUUAACAGCAGAAAAAGUAUAUAAAAACGUAGUACACCCAAGCUCAACAAAGCAAAAGGUGAAAACUUCUGCAUCUUUUGUACUUGGUUUAGUUAAGUUCAGGAAACUUGAAUGUUCAAAGAUAUUAUUUUAGACCAGUCCCGGAGAGGAGGAGGAUUGUGGUUGAUUAAUGGCUAACCAGUGUAAGCUUUGUCAAAUCUCAUGAUAUUGAAUCCCAAUAAACCAAUCAUGGGGAUGUCAAUCAACGAGUUAACAUAAAGACGUUCACCUAAUUGACCCAAAUUUUUUUAAUUAAAAAGACUUAAAUCAAAUGUAAACACCAACCCAAGUAUGGUAAACAUAGUCUCUACAUCCUUGUAUGGAAACCAAUCUUUCAUGGGUGGAAACAUUACGUUUGUGUUUUACACUCUGAUACACAUCAGUUCUUUUAAUUAAAAAAUAAAUAAAUGAAUAGGGAAGCAACUCAUUUUAGUAAAAAUGUUAGGACAAAUAUUUGGUGCGCAGCAAAAGAAGUCUCAAAAAGUUUAUUAAGGCUUGGCAUCAAAAUUAAGUUCAAUAUUACAUGUCUGAUCAUAUAUUUAGAAAAGCGGUAAGUUACUAGUUUGUUAGCUAAAGUAGGGGAGGGUAGUUUUAUUUCACUCUGCCAGAAAUCAUGGGUGAAAAAUUGGGAGAUAACUGAGAACUUAGCUUUCAAGAGGCUUAGCUCUGUCCCCAUUUUAAUCCUUAAUUUCUGCCUGAGAGAACUGAAGCUACACCCACCCUGCCCCGCUUCAUUUAUAAUGAGAAGCCUAUACAAUUCAUUCUAGUAAAUUCCUAUAAUACCCUUCCCCUACUAUAGCUAACCAACUAGUAACCUAUCAAAAAUCAGCCAGAUAACAUUCUUUUAAAUAUGGCCAAAUAACGGGGGAAAAACAAGAUAAAACAUAAAAAGGGAUGGCAUGAUCAGCAACUAAAUGAAGCAACUGAUGAGGAAUCCAAGGCCCUCAGCCUCCUUAACCAACUUGCACGGUGGCGAAGUAGCGAUAUUGUUGGGAAAACACCUCCCAAAGAUAGCCCAAAGAUCAAACAAAGUUGGCAAAAUGAAAAUUUCCAAACCACUUGAAGAACAAGAAAAUGGGGAAGAAAUGAUUUCAAUGGAAUAUAUGAAGAACAAUGGAUUGGAUUACUUGAACAAGGCUCAAGUUAAUCCCCAAAAAAAGAAAAUAGCUUUGAAUUUAUACCCAAAAAGAACAACCUCUUACUUUUUAAAUUCAAUCCAAGCUCUCUCACUUUUCUCUCCAAAAAACGGGUGUUCAAUGAAGGGGAAAAACACCAGCUAUAUAUAGAAUGAAUCAGGCGCCAUGGCGCCAAGAUUGAUCAGAACCAUGGGCGCCAUGGCGCCAGCAUCACUCGACCAUUUUUUUACACUUUGGGCGCCAUGGCGCCCAAUCUUCAAAAAAAAAAUUGUGAGAAAUAGUGCAGGGAGUCAGGCGUCAUGGCGCCCAAAGUGUAAAAAAAUGGUCCAGUGAUUCUGGCACCAUGGCGCCAAGAUUGAUCAGAACCAUGGGCGCCAUGGCGCCAGCAUCACUGGACCAUUUUUUUACACUUUGGGCGCCAUGGCGCCCAAUCUUGGCGCCAUGGCGCCUGACUCCCUGUACUAUUUCUCACAAUUCUCCAACUCGUACAUCAUUUGAUAGACCUCAAAUUUUGGAUGAACACAAGAAGAAGCAGCAAGCGCCAAACUCGGCUGCACCAUUCAAACCAUGGUUGCCUACGUACCCAAAACUCGGGAUCAAGCCUCCGUAGUUCACCUCCACCUUCAUAAACUCUCCACCUCAUUUCAACCCCACCCCGAAGGGCCAUGCCCACUCGGGCAUAUCAACACGGACUAAUUUGAAGCAAGUCCAAGCAAUGUUGAAAUUUGCUACCCGUUACCACUUUGGUUAACAUGUCAGCUGUGUUCUCAUUUGUGUGUACCUUCGAGAGUGAAAUAUCAGCUUCCUCUAUAACAUCACGCACAAAAUGAUACUUGACGUCAAUAUGCUUGGUUCGAGCAUGAUGAACCUGAUUCUUAGCCAAGUGAAUCGCACUCUGGCUAUCACACCACAAGUCCACACAAUCCUGCUCAAUCCCCAAAUCAUCUAGAAGACCCCAUAACCACAAUGCUUCCUUCACUCCCUCUGCCAUGGCCAUAUACUCGGCCUCUGUAGUAGAAAGAGCAACUGUAGCCUGUAACAUCGAUCGCCAACUAACUGGGGCACCAUGUAUGCAAAAUACAUAUCCAGUAGUAGAUCGUCGUCUAUCUAGAUCACCCGCAUAAUCCGAGUCCACAAACCCACUUAUAUGACAUGCAUCUCCACCAAAACAUAAACCCGUAUCCGCGGUAUCUUUCAAGUACCUCACGAUCCACUUCACAGCUUCCCAGUGCGCCUUCCCCGAAUUCGCCAUGAAUCUACUGAUCACACUCACCGCCUGUGAAAUAUCUGGGCGUGUACACAUCAUGGCAUACAUCAAACUACCAACUGCACUAGCAUAAGGCAUACGAUCCAUGCGUACCUUUUCUUCCGCUGUAGUAGGAGACUGUUUACCAGAGAGCCUAAAAUGUGGAGCUAAUGGAGUCACCACCGACUUUGCACCUUGCAACCCGAACCUAGCAAUAACCCACUCAAUGUAGCCUUUCUGACUCAAGAACAUUCGCCAGUUCAUCCUCUCUCUUCUGAUCUCCAUACCCAAUAUUUUCUUAGCAGCUCCCAUAUCCUUCAUCUCAAACUCUUUACCAAGUUGAGAUUUCAACUUAUCUAUCUCCACCUUGCUUUUCGAAGCGAUAAGCAUGUCAUUCACAUAUAGAAGAAGAUAGAUAUAGUUACCUCCCCGAAGUUUCCGAAUAUAAACACAGCAGUCAUACUCACUUCUGGAGAAACCAUGCUUUAGCAUGAAGGAGUCAAAUCGCUUGUACCACUGCCGAGGAGAUUGCUUCAAUCCAUAUAGUGAUUUUCUCAAGCGACAUACCUGACGUUCCUUAUCCUCAACCUUGUAGCCAUCAGGUUGAUGCAUAUAGAUCUCCUCAUCCAAGUCCCCGUGCAAGAAGGCGGUUUUGACAUCGAGUUGUUCCAGCUCAAGAUCAUGAUGAGCAAUAAUACUCAAUAGCACCCGAAUGGAAGUGUGCUUGACCACAGCAGAAAAGAUCUCAUUGUAGUCAACUCCCUCUCUUUGUGUAAACCCCUUAGCCACUAACCUCACUUUGAAUCUUGUGCCACCGAGUUUGGUAGGAUCCUCCUUCUUUUUAUACAACCACUUGCAACCAAUAACUUUCUUGCCUAUGGGCAAUGGGACAACCCCCCAUGUUUGGUUCUUGUGAAGUGAUUCCAUCUCUUCUUCCAUUGCUGCCAACCAACUCUCGCUAUUAUUGUUUAAAAUAGCUUCCUUGAAAGUGGUAGGCUCAUCAUCCUCCACCGAGAGUGCAUACUCAACCAAAUUUGUCUGCCCAUAGUGCCUCAAAAGCUCGUCUGACCCCAACUUUAGAAUUUGCUUGUAAGUACGGCGUGGCCUAGAGGAAGCCAAGUUAUCUGCAAGUUGCUGCUGUUGCUGUGCCUGUACAUUCUCUUGCUGAAUCGCCUCUUGUUCAAGUGCAUCAUCACUCUCAUCUUGAGUGUCUGUUUGAAGCUCCUCUUGAACAUGCCUAGAAUCAGGUUGAUCUCUAGGUUCUAUGUCAACAACUUGAGAUAUUGUAGUCUCAACAUCAUCACCACCGGGCACUGUAGCUUUCAACGAAGCUACCAUGGAGUUCUCAUCAAAAGUAACAUCUCUGCUGAUUAUGAACUUAGAAUCCUCUAAACACCAAAGGUAAUAGCUUUUAACACCUACCGCAUACCCUAAGAAUAUAGCCUUCUUAGCCCUCGCAUCAAGCUUUCCCUCGUUGACAUGAUAGUAGGCUGUGCAUCCGAAUGUUCUGAGUUUCUCAUAAUCUGCAUGUUCUCCUGUCAAUACCCUAUAAGGUACAUCUCCAUCUAACCUUGAAUGUGGAGAUCGGUUCACAAUGUAGCACGCAUUUGCAACCGACUCUGCCCACCAUUCUCUGCCCAAACCAGCAUAGGAUCGCAUACACAUCGAUUUCUCUCGAAAUGUGCGAUUCAGUCUUUCCGCGACCCCAUUCUAUUGCGGUGUAUUUCUUACUGUCCAAUGUCUCACAAUGCCUUUCUUACCACAGAACUCCUUGAAAGCACCAUCUGUAUACUCAGUACCGUUAUCAGAUCUCAGUGUCUUCAAUUUCUUUCCUGUUCUGUUUUCAACCAUUGCUUUCCACUUCUUGAAGGUGUCGAAUACCUCAUUCUUAUGCUUCAAAAAAUAAAUCUAAGCAUAUCUAGAAUAAUCAUCAACAAAUGUAACAAAAUACCUGGAACCGCCUUUGGAAGUGACAGAAGCCGGACCCCAUACAUCCGUGUGCACAUAAUCAAGAAUGCCUCUGCUUCUAUGUUUGCUUGGCUGGAACUGAACUCGGUGUGCUUUACCGUACACGCAAUGCUCNNNNNNNNNNNNNNNNNNNNNNNNNNNNNNNNNNNNNNNNNNNNNNNNNNNNNNNNNNNNNNNNNNNNNNNNNNNNNNNNNNNNNNNNNNNNNNNNNNNNNNNNNNNNNNNNNNNNNAAUCAAAGAACCACGAACAACUUUCUUUACUCCAUUCCAUGUUACAAUCUUGCAACCACCGGAGUCUAAAGCACCAACAGAGAUGAGGUUCUUUCGCAAAUCAGGAACAUGUCUAACAUCCAUCAAUGUUCUAACCACUCCAUCAUGCAUCUUGAUUCUAAUUGAACCAAGCCCCACCAUUUUACAUGAAUGGUUAUUACCCAUCAACACAGUUCCACCAUCAGUGCUUCUAUAGGUAGUAAACCACUUCCUAUUUGGACACAUAUGAUAAGAGCAUCCGGAGUCAAGAAUCCACUUACCGGAGGUCUCUUCAUCACAAGAGAUGGUGUAGCACUCAUCGCUUUCCCCUCCUUCCGAGGCAUAGCUUACCUCUUGCUUGACUUGCACCUUCCCNNNNNNNNNNNNNNNNNNNNNNNNNNNNNNNNNNNNNNNNNNNNNCUACCCCUUACAAAUAAUCCUUGAGCUUGCUCCUUGUUACCAAUGGUAGACAUGCCACUAGUUGCAAUCUUUCGAAGAUCAUCCGCUAGAAGUGAUGUUCUAGUGUCCUCCAUCACAAGUUUAUCACCCACAAGCAUCAAUGUUUGUACUAGGUUCUCGUAAGACUUUGGCAAUGAAAGAAGUAGUAGAAGUGCUUGAUCCUCAUCAUCUACAUCCACAUCAAUGUCCUUCAAGUCCAAUAUGAUCCUAUCAAACUUGUUGACGUACUCCCGGAUUGGUGUACCUUCAUCCAUCUUGCAAGUAUACAAUUUGGACUUCAAGUAGAUCCGAUUUGUUAGAGUCUUCGUCAUGAAGUUCGCCUCCAACUUUGUCCACACCUCCGCCGCCGUUACCUCACUACCAACCAAGAAAGCAACAUCUCUUUCAAGGCAAAGAAUGAUAGACGCUCGUGCCUCAAGAUCUAGCUCUUCCCAAUCCUCGUCUGACAUAUCAACGUGCUUCUUCUCCUUUCCCACUAAUGCCUUGUGCAACUUUUGAGAAAUCAACAAAUUUUUCAUUUGCAUUCUCCAAUAUGAAAAAUCAUUCUUCCCAUUGAAUUUCUCUAUCUCAUACUUCCCAAUCUUCACCAUUCCUCUAGUAGACAUGAUUUAUUCACUUGUUUACCGAAAAUAAACCACAAAAGUUCACUUGGAAAUUUUUACAAACACCUUGUGCACAACAAAGUUCAAGCAACUCACCACAAAAUCGAAGUUUAACCACCUUGAUUUAGGAAGAAGCUCUGAUACCAAAUUGUUGGGAAAACACCUCCCAAUGAUAGCCCAAAGAUCAAACAAAGUUGGCAAAGUGAAAAUUUCCAAACCACUUGAAGAACAAGAAAAUGGGGAAGAAAUGAUUUCAAUGGAAUAUAUGAAGAACAAUGGAUUGGAUUACUUGAACAAGCCUCAAGUUAAUCCCCAAGAAAAGAAAAUAGUUUUGAAUUUAUACACAAGAAGAACAAUCUCUUACUUGUUAAAUUCAAUCCAAGCUCUCUCACUUUUCUCUCCAAAAAACGGGUGUUCAAUGAAGGGGAAAAACACCAGCUAUAUAUAGAAUGAAUCGGGCGCCAUGGCGCCAAGAUUGAUCAGAACCAUGGGUGCCAUGGCGCCAGCAUCACUGGACCUGACUCCCUGCACUAUUUCUCACAGAUAUCGACUCUGAGCUUUUUCGUUUCAGCAAUGACAGAUUCUGUGUUUUCAGCCAUAUCUAACUGUAGAAGCUCUAGAAUUCAGAAUGUUAAUUUUAGGGGACUUAGCUACCAAAUAUAUAGAACACUAAUUGAUCCCAUUACUACGCAUGGGCCUCCAAGCCAUGCUUGCGCAAGUCCCCGAGUUUUACGACCCCAGACCAAAAUGUCUCUACAAUGCAUAGGCAUGGCUAACAGCCAUGCAUACACAUGGCUCUAAUAUGGGUCCAACAGGCUAGUUUCCCUUUUUUAUUCCAACCCUUUAUAGUAUCAAUUCCUAGCCAUUAUUUAACCUAAUUGAGGUCGCCAAGAACGAACCACAUCAUAUUUUAACACCUACAAGAAGACUAGUAAGAGGAUUGAAGGCAAAUGACACAAGGACUUGUAAAUGCAAGGCUCAAAUUCAAGAUAGAAGUUGGAGAAAUUGAUUUAUUAAGUUUCUUCCUCUAUUCUUUACUUUGAGUGAUAUCUUUUUAUAUCUUUUUGUGUAAAAUAUAUAAAAGUAUGCCAGAGUAAAUUCUAUAUUGUAUUGGAUAAAAAUCUGACCAUUGUUUAUUUAUUUCUAAUUCAAAGACAAGUAGUUUAGUUUUCCUUGUGUUUUUUGACUGAUCUUGCAUGUAUAUGCUAUUAUAUGAUUUAUUGAUUACCUAUUAACUAAUUAGUUCAAUACACUCAUUCCAUAAAUUCCAUACGAACCAUGCAUUUUACAUAACUCAUAGAAUAAAUUAGUAUAAUUAAAAAAUAACAUUUUUUUUUUUUUUUGGUAACAUACUUGAAUUUGAUACAAAACUAAUACAAUUCGAUUUACAGUUUAUUACUCGUAAGAUGAUACUAUUAACUCACUAAUUUAUCACUUGUUAAUGAUCUCGUACUCUUACAAAAUUUAUUCGAACAGUUGAUAAUAAAAAACUUGAAGCUAAAGGUUCACGUAUUUUGAAAGUAAAGAAGCUUGAUGGAGCAAUGUGGUUAUUGACACGUCUUAUGUAUGUUCCAAGGUGGGUGUUAAAUUUGAUACUGUUGGGAGCACUGGACAUGUUGGAUUAUGAGCACUGUGGAUGUGCUGGUAUGAUAAACAAGGAGAAAAAUUACGUGGCACCAAUGAGAGGCAAAAUGGUUCUAAUUAAUAGCUAAUAGGGAAGACAAUUUUAGGCAAAGCUUUUCGCGUUUAAGUCACACCGAUUAGAGUCUUCUAUUAUUAUCAAUAAUUUGGUAGUGUCAAAACUGGUUCUAUGACUAAUGACGAGAAAAAUGAAAAUCAAAGUUCGGAGAUAUGAAAUCAUAGUCACCUUUUAUUGGACUUUGAAUUCGACUCAAGUCUGCAAGAAUUAAUUGGGCAACUAUGCCACCUACAAGUAAAGAGGCACGAAGAUGGUAUGAAGAAGGGUUAUGAUUUGAAGGAACUUGAUAAAGCUGGAAAUUAUUGAAAUUGAAUCAACUAAUUUGUUAAGGACCAUCUUGGCAAUUUUCAAUAAAUCCCUUGUUUAGAGCACAUUUCUUUGGAAAAGUGUUUUGACAUUAUUUCGAUCAUACAUUCUUCAAUAAAAUAAUAAUACACACAAAUUCAAAACUUAUUUUAAUCACACAUUUUCCAUCAAUACACUAUUCAAAAAUGCAUUUUUUUUCUCACCAAAAUUGUCAAACAUGGGCAAAAAGCCAUAUUACGACAGGGUAAUUAUUUCCUUUAUUUAACCCUUAUCUAUGAACAGAUCAUAGGGCAUCCAUGGGCGUGGAUGAAUAAAGAGCUACUUCAAUCGAAUUUGAUGUAAGAGAUGAAUAGCCAAGGUGGGCGCAUGAGAAAGAGAGAGAAGCUAAAAAAAAUAAAAGUCUAUAUAUACACGAACGUUUUAGGUUGUAGAAGUUUCGAAAUAAAUAAAGACAUUAAUGUAUCGUAACAAUUUUCAACUAAUAAAGUCUUCUUUUCCUAUAAUUGUAGACUGUUUAUUGGCCUACGUUAAAUUUAUAUAUUUCUGUGUAUUUUACAUUUGGUGAAUUUUUUUCCCAACAACUAGUUUUUAUAUAAAUGAUAACAUUUUUCUUUUCACUUUAACUUGUACCUAGCUAUAAUCAUAGUCCAUCAAGAGGAAAAGAUAGGUCAAUCAAUGUAGAAAGAAAUCACAUCUCAACUUCACCACAUAACGAUUGAUUAUAACUCAAGAAUCGCAAACCGUCAUGAUUAAUAUUAAAUUCCAUUUUGGUGAAAAUUAAAAUCACAUUUUUUGAAAAAUUUAAUUAAAGUUGAAAUAUGACUAUGGCGGGAGCACUUCCUCCUCCGGCUCCUUCCGACCCAUCAAGCUCAUCCUCGUGGACGGAGGAUUCAUUCGAGAAUCAGGAUCUCAGUUGGAAAGGGAGAGACGGGUACAAUAUACGGAAUAAACUGGUACAACGAGUCUAGCUGAACCACUCAGAUCAGCUUCUUUCGCCCCUCCAACAAGAAAAGGUAUAAAUAUGGAAACUUCUCUGCCAUUUGGAUCGGAGAAAUUGAGAGUUUUAUAAAAUAUAUGGUUGAAAUUAAUUAUUAAUUUUGACUUAAAUUAAAAUCUGAGAUUUUCCUACCAAACGGGCUAAAAACUGAGAAUUAGACCACAAGGCAUCGUCCACGUAGAGGUAGAACCGAAUGUAUACAUCCCGAGUUCUCAAGAAAUACAUACACAAAAAACCUAAUGAAAUCUUUAAAAAAGAGAAGAUCCAAAUCCUGAAAAUGCUUACAAUAGCCAAACUGACUUGCCUUCAUUUAAGUAUGCAAUGGAAAUAUUUAUAAAUCUUCCAUCGCAUCACUUAGAAAGAUACGAUCCCACUAGUCUAACUGUGAGGGAGAACGUGGAACCUCACAGAAUGACUUCCAGGAACACACAUAUUUGUCACAUGUUUCCUUCUCAAGAUAACAUGUCCAGAGUUUAUUAGUAGAAUGUGGCAUUACCAAAGGAUGGGGGGAUGGGGCUUCGAUGGCAAUCUCCGGGCAUGUCUCAGAUCGGAAGUGUUCAAAUCCGGAAGUUUGAGAGCCAUUAUAUGACAUGCACCCCUCAGAAUCUGGCUUGUCAUCAACCUACAAUACAAAUGAUAAUCUCAUUGCUAUAACAUUUGUAGAUCUUCUAAAAGUGUUUGGCUAUUCCUUUUGCAAAUUAGAUUUAAAUAAUGAUGAUGAUGAUAAUAACAAUGCAACUAAAACCCAAUUCUAUAUUGCUAGCAGUGUGAUGAUCGUGUUUGGCAAAGCUUGACAUAAGUAAAAAUUACAUUUAAGUAAAUAUUUGUUAUUAAACGUGUUAGGAUAAGUUACUUUUCGUCCAUUAUAGUGCUUGUUAUAUGAAGUUCAUAAUGGAGCAAGCGUGACCAAAUCUAAACAUCAAAACCACAAAAAAUAUACAUUGAGAAAAAAGAUCCAUACAAGUCAAGUUUAGGUUUUUAGCUUGAAUCACAAGGAUUGAGAGUACAUAGUUUCACUAAGAAAGCAUUUAUAGUUACACAAAACCAUAUAUAAAUUGCCAAAAAAUAAUAAUAAUAAUAAAUUAAUUAAUAAAUAAAAAAAUUUGCUAAACCACAAGCAUUAUAUCAAGUGCAGUACUGGUUUCAAACUUUGACAAUACUCAUUUAUGAAAAUUGUGCAUGUACCGAAAUUUGCAAAAAAAAUAUAAAUUUGUCUGCAACCCACGGUCAAUAAAUUUUCACAAUCAGACCAAAAUUACACAAUUUUAAGCACAUAUUUACAAAAAGUUAGCAGGCAAACAAAAAUUGAUUCAAUAUAAACGCACAGACUGCAUUAAGCACAUACAAGAAGAAAGAAAGAGGGGAUCCUGGUUGGUCAUCCCAGCAAAGGCUGUUCAAUUUCUUCAUUUUCCACUCAUCUUGCCACGAAUAGCCCAAAUAUU